rnacentral:misc_RNA from 1 species
ACAGAAAAAUAAGUAUGGUAUGCAAUGGAGAAACUAAAAGGCUUGCAAUUAACAUUCCUGAUGCGUGAUGUCAGGGUAAGAGAUCCAUCAAAAGCCAAAGCCACUCUCAGGCGGAACUCAAAACCAUGAGGCCAGAUUUUAAGAUCAUCGUCAGAUGAUUUAAGUAGUAAGUCAAUAUAUGUUUUGCCAUUGGAAUCAUUUGGGUGCAGUGGGGGAGGAUUAUCGUCAAUGACCCACAUCUUAUUUCUGGCAAAUCCAUGUUGCUCGAGAGAGCCCCGGUUUCCAAACUGAGGAAAACAAAUUUGAAUCCCUCCCCUCACAGCUGUUGGUGGCUUAAAAGUUGCCUUGCUACUUAUAAAAAGUAAUUCUUCACCAUGGUCAGUCUUCCAUGAAAGAACCUGUCCUCCAUGCAGGCUAACUCGAACAGAAGCGCCACGUA